UGCCUGGAAGAAGGAGGAGGCCACGGCCCACCUGCUGUCCACUCCUUCCCUGCUCCGGACACGCAUCCUGACGCGUGUCUCAGGAAGGUUCCAGUUCCUGCCAAGUAGCCUCAGAGAUGCCCAGGAGGCCAGACCAUGGGGACCAGUGUGGUUCUGAGGCCAGGCCUGUCUGGACAUCCCAAUGGUCCAGGUCUGUCCCCAGUGCCAAGGAGCCCUGCUACCUUGCCGGAGCAGAGUCCCGCACGAUGCCUGAGGCAAAGCUGCCAGCCCCCACCCUCACCCCCCAGGCGCCUUUCAGCCCCGCCAGCGGGUAGCACAUCCACUGCAGGGCCCAGUGACUGGCGCCCCAGCAGAGCCCGGAGGCCAGCCCGGAAGCAAGAGCUGAUGCAGGGUCAUUUUAUUUGGGAAUUUCGGCCACACUAGUCUGCCUGGUGAACGUUCGACAAAGCCGCUCUGUCCUCUCGGGCCUGAGUGCGGAGGAGACAGCGGCCAGUUCCCGCUGCCCCAACGCAGGGGGGCCGGGCUGCGUGCCCUGGGAGGGAAAACGCGGCUCCUCCAGGGGUCGCAGCUCCUCGGGGGCCCCUGGCCCUAGCAACAGCAGAGCAGCGACUGGGGGCUCACCGGCCCGCCCUUCCAGGAGCCCUGGGAUGGCGCGGCGGUCGAGCUCCUCCCUCCGUGGGGGGCUGGCAGGCAGCCUCAGGAGUUCAUGGAACAGGUGCGUCGCUAGACACUCAUUCCUGGUUGUACGUGGAAGAGGAUCUGUUCGGCCGGCCUGGCAGCUCGGGGGUGUCAGGCUUCUGGCUCACCUUCUUGCCCAGAUGCUUUGAGGACUUUCGGAAGUUCUGUGUGAACAGAGCUGAAUCCGUUUUCCCUGUGGGGGAAAGAAGUACACAAGUGAGGUGGGCUUCCGACACGGGCCGGGGGCAGGCGGGGAGGGGCCACCUUGCCCACAGACCACGCGCCGGUCAGGGAGAGGCCCCUCCCUGGCUCUCGGUCCCAAUUCAUUCCUCCUGAGAUGUCCAGGAAGCCGCCGCCGUGCGGACCAGCCCCCACCGGCAGACAGAGAAGCCAGCUCCUCGGGGCCUCCCGUGGGCAGGCCGGUGUGGGGCUCUGCUGUGCGCACGCGCGGGAAUGCACACCGUCCUCCCCUCCGGGGGACACCAGCAGUCCUUUACCUGGAGACAAGCCCUCUGUCCAGAAAUCACACGUAUGAUCAAAGUGCUGGCUCUAGUGCGGGGUGGAGAGUGGAUUCCCUAGUGAACGUGGAAGGAUUGGAACGGCGGCCUGUGCUCCUGCUGGAAACAAGACUGGUGGCAAGUCCCGUGUCCGAGCCGUCAAAGGUGGGGGUGAGGCCAGGGCAGGUGGUGGGGCACAGAGGGACCCAAUGAAGGGCACCCUUGGUGAAGGGACUCUCCCUCCUUCCUCCGCGUGGCCUAAAGAUGCGAACAGGACACUUCAUGUUUCCAGCAGAAGCCCAUUUCCUGGCCCGACCCGGGAAGGCAGAGAAGCGAGCCAGCCAGGAACCGCUCAGGAAUCUUAGACUACACACCAACAGCCGCGGGCACCAGACAGGCCGCCCGAGCGAGAGCGAGCCGCGGGAGAGAACACGGGGAAAUGCCUGGUGUCGUAGCUCACGGCAGAGCCCCCCCUGCGGACAGCUCCCCGCCGGACAAGGCAAGGAACGUCACAGUCAGCAGCCAUCUGUGGGCACCGGAGCCGGGGAGCCUGCAGGCUGCAGCGGGGGGGGGGUGGGGGUGCUGGAGCUGCCCCCCUCCCAGUGCAGCCGGAACACACGGAAAGCUCUCCCUGCUGGCCAAGAAAGCUGCUGCCCGGGCUCUGCCCAGAAACCGUCUCCCCAGAGCAGGGGCCCCCCUGGUCCUCAGCAGGUGACAGGGAGGGCUCCCCCACCUAGGUGGCGAGAUGCCCUUGGGAGAGGGAGUCACAUAUCCCCAGUGAUGGGAAUUCAAAUUAAAAAUUACAACACACCAAAAAACACCACCCUGAGAACGUCAGGUCAUGGGGCAAAUGGUCUGCAGAGUGUUGUGUCAGAGAGAUGGAAGCCUCAGGUUAGAACAAGCCUGUUCUUCAAAAGAAAACAGGAGACUGGGAAAAGCACGAACUGGAGCUGAGAUGAGGAUCCCCCAUAGGACAUGGGGACCCCCAGAGGAGGUGGGGACCCCACAGGAGGUGGGGACUUCCCCACAGGAAGUGAGGACCCCACAGGAGUUGGGGUCCCCCAGAGGAGGCGGGGACCCCACAGGAGACAGACCACCCACAGGGGACAGGGACCCCACACAGGAGGCAGGCUGGCAGGAGCUCCAUGCCUUGGGCCAGGUGUGGGAGGGAGAAGCAAGUCAGGGGCCCCGUGAGUUGGGAAGUGGAAUUGAGACCCCCCCCCAUAGAAACAAAAGCCCCCCUGCCUCAUCCUCAGGUUGGCCGCCUGAACGCAGCCCCCAGGCUACAGGAGACCCUGCCAGUUUGAGUGCAUCCGUAGGAAAUUCUGGAAAGGGCAAGUCUAUGGGGAAGGGAGCAGACGAGGAGCGGCCAGGGGGUGGGCAAGAAGAGCGCAUAAAAUCUGCGGCUCCCGGCCCUCGACAGCCACGCGGCCAGGACCAAACAGGCCCUACCUCACACCAUCAACAAGUAUACGGGCAACGGGCUAAGAAGCAAACUGGGAAGCGACGCUUCCGAGCACAGAGAAGACAAUGGGACGUUAUGACGGGGCGCAGCAAGUGCUCCCAGAGACACAGAGCCGUAAGCCACAAGGACGGGGCGGGGGGGCAGGGGGCAACUGUGGCCGCACCGAUAUUCCAUCCUGCACAAGACAGACCAGACACGGCAACGCAGGCCGUGGCACCCAUCAGAGGCUCCUGCUAUCCAGGACACAGAGCCAUCCCAGAGCAAACACGGGCGGCCAUCACACACACACGGAGGCGAAUCCCAGACCUGGGACUCCAAAUGCCCCAUAAAUCAGGGGCACAGUUGGUUAAGCAUCUGACUCUUGACUUCGGCUCAGGUCGUGGUCUCAGGGUCAUGAGAUCGAGAUCAAGAUCGAGCCCCCCCUCAGGCUCCACACUCAGCUGGGAGUCUGCUGGGGAUUCUCUCCCUCUGCCCCUCCCCCGCUCAUGUGUGCGCGUGGCUCCCGCUCUCUCUCUCUCAAAUAAAUAAAUCUUUAAAUAAUAACAGGAUAAAUAAUAAUUAGCUACAUAUGAAAUAGUGCUCAGUUUUCCUUGUCAUCAGGGAGUGCAGAACGAGACUUUCCAGAGCACUGCGCGGUGUAAAAUCUCAGAGGGAAAGCAGUCCCGUGUGUCUUUUAGGGACGCAGGAAUGAAAACGGGAUAAGAGUGGAGGGCUAGCUGCAUCUCGUUCCAGUUCUUCAAAACCGAGGCAUGAGAUGAGCCCGGCCCAGCGCGGACAUCUGUGCACGCAGGUGCCCCACCUGUGUGGUGGGGGUCAGGGGCUUCUUUGAUUAUUUCGUUGAUUUUUUAAAUGUUCGAGGUUGAACCAGUUAGAUGCCGGUUUUGCAGGGCUGUGAAGCUUUGAAAGGGUGGGGGAAGGGGGGUUCUUUAAAAUAAAUGAACCCAAAGCGCAAACAAAACUAAACCGGUCGCCCUGGCCUGUGGUCGGUCUGCAGCCACGGCCCAAGGAAGGAGACGGGGGCAGUGCCCGCUCCCCAGGCUCCAAGGACAGGUGGGAGGGGUGCCUCCACUCUGUGGCUGGGAAGGAACCCACAGCUCCUGGCCCUGUGUUUUCUGUGUCCUUCCUGGAACCCACCUGGCCACCCCACUGCCCGUCUCUCCAGAGGUCACAGAACGCUGGAUUCCGGGUGGAACCCUGACAACCACAGGUUCCAGGCCCUCUGGGUCCAUCACCAACAUUCCAGACUGGCCGCCCCUCUCCAUCCUGAGCUCAUCUCGGGCUGUCCCCCUCUCAGGCACCCCCGAAUCCCCUCUGUUAUGAGCUUCCUGGACAUCUCUUCCCAAGGCUCCUUUGACCAUACCCGGCCACCCCUCAGGGCGCUGCCCGCUCUCCCAAGAGCCCAGGGGUGGAGGGCCCGGGGAGGGGUCGUAGCAACCAGCCUGGUCCCUCCACCUCCCCAGCCCGGGCCCUCCCCUCCCUUCUCUCCCUGAGGACGGGGCUUCCCCUCAAAAGCAUCACCCUUGCCCGGCCCUGUUGGCUCCCCUGAUCGACCCCUCUGCACACCGCCCCUUGCGCCCCCUCCUGCACCUUGCCCCCUCCAGGCCGCAUUCCCCACAGACACCACUUGCCCACUGCCCUGCAGGCUCAUCCUCAGCCUGAGCCCCUCUCGCCCACCCGGUGCCUGGCCCUUUCUCCCCAGAGCCCUCCCGACCCACAGCUCCUCCACCCGAGCUGGACUCUGCUGCAGGCCAGCUCCCGCUAGAGCCGCGCACACGUCCGGGCUCGCCAGAAGCCGCUCAUCUGAGACUCUGAAGGCCAGACCAGCUGCCUAUGGCUCCCAGGACCUGAGGGGUGGCUGGCUGCUGGGUGGGCUGCACCCUGCUCUGGCUGGAGUCUCUGUGGACCAUGGCGGGAGGGGAAUGGAGGGCACGCAGGACACACUGUGUGUCUGCACAGAACUUGGUAUGGAGAAGGGGGAUGAGGCAUGCACCCCCCCCAACGUCCCAGCACCCAGUAAGGGCCAGGUGAGAGGCCCCUGGGUCAGUAUAUUCUGAAGAUAGAAGCAGCUGAAUUCCUGAUGAGCAGAAGAGGCAGGGGGCGGGGUGCGCGUCACACAGAAGGGGAAACUCGAAACUCGCGAAGGCACCACGCCCACUGAAUAGACAGACUGAUGAGUUAAAUGAAGUCUAGAGGAAAAGAUUCAAGCUGGAAUGAUUCACUUUGGGGUACCAAUCUGCAAAAUGUAACGCAUGCAUCCUUUCAAGAAAUCGGCUGGAAGCAUGCUGUGUGGACACAAGGCUGCCAUGUUACCAUUGCCAACUAAGCGUGAGCCCCAGAGAGAGACAGAGCCACGGACGGGGAGCAAAGUGCGGAUCCUGGGUGGACGGCGAGCCCCAGACAGAGACAGAGCCACGGACGGGGAGCAGAGUGCGGAUCCUGGGUGGACGGCGAGCCCCAGACAGAGACAGAGCCACGGACGGGGAGCAGAAUGCGGAUCCUGGGUGGACAUCCACAGAGCCUGCCACCAACCCAGAGACACGUGGCCAGGGAGGUGCUGCGGAGACCAGGGACCCCCAGGGGCGUGGGGAGAUGGGGCUGUGCCCUCCUGGUGAGGCCACCCCUCCGUGUGCUGAGGGGCCCUGCACUAGCUGGCGUCCUCACAGCAGGGGAGGCUCUGCCGGGGACACCAUUCCUGUCCUGCUGGAGUCUGGCAAAGGGGACAUUUCUCCCACGGGACAGCUCUCCCUCCUGGAAGGCAGGCACCCACAGGGUAGGGAUCCAGUUGUCUUGUCCUCUAUGCUAUUCAGGCGCCCAAAGCAUGACGGUCAGAAGGUAACUGCUCAAUGCACCUGCUGACCCAGGAGCUGGACUCCACAGCAAACCAGACCCUGAAGGACAGGACAGAUGGAUUUGACAACAGAGUGAAACACUCCAUGUAGUGACAUUCCAACAGAGAGAAGGUCUCCCCACAAGAGGUGGCAGGGAGGGCGGCAGGGUCUGCAGAGAGCUCUCUCGAGGCAAGGCCGGGAAGGCGGGUCUCCCCAAUAACAGACCAGAGGAAUAGCCUCAAGGCCGCAUUCCCACAUCUGCGUGUGGAGACGACCGUCAGCUCGUGCGUGAAUCCCCAGAACGUGGGAAGUGGAACUUUCUGGCAAUGCUCACUACUGACCACGUGCCCCGCGCACAGACAGGCUCACUAGCCUACCAGCAGGCAAGCUAAGAAGAUAAGACUGACGAUGGGAACGCUCCACAAAUCUGAAAAUGCAACCUCUGUGAAUUCUGCCCAGAGGAAAACUAGGAGGAAGGUGUGUGCAGCUCCCUCCCGGAGUGAGCCCUGAAACAGUAGGCGCCCAGCGGCCGGGGACUGGGUGGUGCCUCUGUCCCUUCCAGAAAAUGGUAAGACACGCACAGUGCACCGGAAAGGCAGGUUAAAGGCGCACAACGAGCCAUUUAAUUAAAAACAAAUGGAAGGACACAUGAAAACACACGUGCGCACGUGCACGGGGCACAUGCAGACUCACUCCGUGUGCACCCGGGCCCGGGUUAAAAUCCAGUACGUUCAGGUUAUCUGUUCCUGAGCGCUGA